rnacentral:rRNA from 1 species
UGCCUUUUGACUCUUAUAUAAGGUAAGUCCUGCCCGGUGAGUUACGACUUUAACGGCCGCGGUAUCCUGACCGUGCAAAGGUAGCAUAAUCACUUGCCUUUUAAUUGGAGGCUCGUAUGAAUGGAUUAAUGAGGGGCCGGUUGUCUCUUUUACUAUAAUGAAAAUUAUUAUUUAGGUGAAGAAACCUAAAUACAACUAAAAGACAAGAAGACCCUAUCGAGUUUUACUUCUCUUUAGAGGGCCUAGAAAUUUUUAAUAUUUUAGGCUAACUAUAUAUAGUUUGGUUGGGGCGACUAGGGGACACACAUAGCUCCCCAGAUUUAUAUAAGAACUUACUUCUUUGCACUGAUCCUCAAUCGAGAUCAAUAGAAACACACUACCGUAGGGAUAACAGGCUAAUCUCUCUAGAGAGUUCAAAUUGACAGGGAGGAUUGGCACCUCGAUGUUGGCUUAGGGUUACCUUUGUAUGCAGCAGUACAAAAAGGUUGGUUUGUUCAACCAUGAAAACCCUACGUG